UUUAUCAGUUUAACAUCUGUACCUGAUGUUUGCCAAAUUAUUUUGUGUCUAUUAUCAGAUUUCUUCAUUUGGAAAACAUCAAUAUUAAAUUGGUGCACGUACUGUUACUAGUUAAUUCUUCAAGAAACAUAUUUCAAGGAUAUCAAGAAUAGGAUAGAGAGGGGCACUGCUGCAUGGCUUAAGUCCACCAUCUGCCUGAUGGAUCUGAGCACCAUGACAAACUGCUAUCCUUCCUGAUUAGGAUGUGCAAACAGAGAGCAGACAGAUUUUGCCAAGCUGGGAAAAAUGAGGUUGAUUUUCUGCUCCAGCCUCACCUAUGCUCAAGAUCCAAGAACAAAGGCACAGAACUUUUCAUUGAUACACCUCAACUCAACCUGGACAUUUUUAAGGAAGACAAAAGUGAAACAUCAGUCUGCACUGUCUUAAACCAAUGGGAAAAGGGUGUAUGAGAAGGGAAUAUGGGAUAUUGUUCAAGGUGCCACACAAAAUCAUCCUUCUGUUUCUUUAUUUGGCACUCUCACAUAUGAUGCUCCCCUUGUCUCAAAGUAAGUCUCUUACAGGUAGAGGAUCUGAUACUCAGCCUUUAAAAUCAGUGGGUGUUUUGACUUCUGUGUCAGUGAGAGUUGGGAUCAAGUUAAAACCCAUUUCAGAAGUCAGGCAGUGAGCCUCUAAAAGCAGUCAGUGUCUGCUCUCAAAAACAAAUCACUUACUGGGGAGAAAAGAUGAACUAAUGUGUGCAGCAGGAUCCAGCUGAACAGAGACCAGCUGGAAAGAAAAAAAAAUAUCAUGGGCAGAAAUGCAGCAUAUUGAUCUUACUUUAAUAUUUUAGGGUAGUAAAUGAUCUUAACAUAAUUUUAGAAACAAAGUCCCUUUAUGAGCUAUGGAAAGAUGCUGACAGAAAAGAUCACAGAUUUUGAAAUUCUGAUUGUGAGUGCAUCAGGGACUGGCAGCUGUGACUAUAGCUAUGUGAAUAGUUCAUUUUCAGGUGAAUUCUAGGUGAUUUCCAGUUUCUUAUAUGCCAUAUAUCUGACUGUAGUAAAAAAGAAACCCAAACCCCUCUUCUGCUUCACUUAUGAAAUGAAAUAGUUACUGAAAUUGCUGUGUUUUUUUUUUUUUUUUGAAAUAGCUAAAACUACUGUUGGUUUGAAAAAACCUUGGGCACAGAAAAAUUAAGGAGGGGCAGAGUUAAAUCACUUUCCAGUUCUAUAUUGCUGUUGAUGGGAUAAGCCUCUUUCUUACUGAGAAGGAAAAGAGAGUCAAAAAUGUUGUUUUCUGCUUAAAUUUUAUAUUCCUGGAACAAGCUUCUAAGCCAAACCAUUUUGAAAGCCAGGCAGGAAACCAAAGACACUUGCUUUAAUGUUCUUGAAAAUAUUGUAGGUUACCGAGCAGGAUAGUUUUGCCUAUGUUUUGAGUUUGACUCCUCAGACCAUUAUUUGAGAAUAAUACAAUUAAAUUAAUCUGUUCAACAGUUAUUUUAUGUAAUCUUUACAUUUGUGUGCUUUAUGCAAUUUAGAAGAAUAAUUAUACACACUAAAUCUUAGGUAAAUUGCUUAGGAAUUUUGAAAGGCUGAAAAUUUGUUUCUGAUCUUUGAAAGUUUAUCUUUACCCUUUUUUUGGUAUUUUUAUUCCUCCUACUUUUAACAAAAUUAUUUAGUAAGGCCCAGUUAAUAUAAUAUUUUUUUCUAUAAUUUUCAUUAUAAUUUUUUUUUUUUGCUAAAGAACUAUUGAAGGGCUUAUAAAGCAGGCAUUGUAGUAUUUUCACUAUUCUCUUCAUUAUCAUGUCACUAUUAUAUCAGAUUGCAUUGUAGCAGGUUUAUUUUGGAAAUGGCUUGUGUGAUCCAUAAUUAUUAUUAUUGCACAUGUUUCUAGAGCUUUUGUUCAACAUGUUAGAACUGAAUAUAUUAAUCACUUGAUCAUUGUGCAGCUAAUUUCUGCUCUUGGCUCUGUAAUCUAAAUCCAGAGUAGCUCCAUUUGCUACUUUCUGACCAGAAAAUAGCCCACUAAUGUUUUUCCUAUAAUGUUCAGAGUACUGUAAGAUUCGUUUGAUCUGCCAUAAUAGCUCUUUUAUAUUAAUAUCGUUGUAAGUGUUUCCAGACAAAUGAUGCCCUCAUUUAAAUGCAGCAGAUCAUAGAAAGGGUCUUAAUGGCCCUGUGCAGCUUCUAGAACAUUAAAAAUGUCCUUGAAAUACUGUGGAAGCUCAUGCAAAUCCUGGCUCUGUGCCUCUCAAUUCUAAUCCAUGAGAUUUGAGAAUGUGGCAAUGAAAAUGUGUUGGCUUAUAAAGUUGGGACUUUGUUUCCUCAGCAAUAGCCUUAAAGAAAUAAUCAAUUGUGUUUGAAUCUCAAAUGUAUAUUUACAGUAGUUAUUUUGGUUAAUUUUUCAUUUUAUGUUUAUGUCCUGAUCAGACCAGAAGCAUAACAUUCUCACAUUCAGAUACUAAUAUUCAUUUAGAACUGUAAAACAAACUGCACCUCUGCAAGAGCACAAAAUCCUUAUUACAGGAAUUAAGAUCUCAUUCAGCUUUUCCAGAAAGCUGAGUUUGUUUACAAGGAGAAGGAGAAGGGUGUCUUUUUAAUAAUUUUGUUUUUUUUUAUUUUUAAUUUCUCCAGUUCAGAAAAUUAUUGAAGACCAUUUCAGACCAUCAAAUCUAAUUUAGGCAAGUGUCAAAGAGCAGAAGACAGGGGUGUGGCACUAGCCACAAUCUUGUAAAAUAGUGUCCUGUCAGUUUGAAAUGUGGCAGUUUGUGUGUUAUUGUGUUUGUGGCAUCUAUUUCCUUGUUGCUCUAAGCAGGGAAAUCGAUGGAAGCUGAAGGUCUUGCAUUGAGAGACUGUGCUGCCUGUUGCCUGCCAUUCUCUUGUGCUAAGGAAGUGCUGUCUUGUUUUCAGUUUCUGGGAAAUGGUAAUGGCAGAGUAUGGGAGCAUUCUCACUAAGAAUCUGAGAUGAAGGGAAGGAAUAUAAGGAAAAAACUACUUUAAACAAGGCAAAACAUCUGCCAUGGGGAGACUGUCCCAUUGCCAUGGAUACUUUCACAGUCUAUUCUGCUGUCAGGAACUGCUGGUUUGGCAUUAUAUGAGCAAGAUGGCUUCUGGACACCAAGCAUAUGCAUUUAGAACAGAAAAUGAAAUUAUUUUAUUAACUCUUUUUUUUUGUAUUCUAAACAUUCAUUUCAAUUCUAGCCCAACAAUUUAACAACACUUGUUGUUAUAUGCUAAGUUUCAAAUUAGUCAUCAGUUUCAGUCUCUCCUGAAAAAUCAGCCUUUCUUCAGUUUUACUGCUCUGCUGUAGCAAAUGAUUCAUGAAUGCUUUCUGAAAUGUCAUUAAAUGUGGAGGAACUGCAAGGUUACUUUGCACCCUGAGAGACACAAAGCCAGUUACAGACAAAUGCAUUAAUGGAUACUUCUUUUGCCAUCUGCACAGCCUGACACUUCUGUAUAGUCUGAAGCUUCACACAGCAAUUUUUUCUGGAGUGAAAUAUCUAAACAGUUGACUUUAAUUCUUCACAACGCCUGGGCUUCUAUUUCAUGUGAUGUUAUUUCUCCAUCAGAUUAACUAUGUCCUUUUGAGAUUGUAUAAAUCACAGUUUAUCAGAAAGGACAAUGGAAAGACAUUUUGUGCAGAGGGAAUUUGGUAUGCAGAAAUAAUCUUUUGUAGAAUAAAAGCUGCAUAAUUCAAAUUAUAUGUUUAGUCACAGGAUGUUCUUGUUUCAGAUGAACAGAAUGUAACACACUUACUAUGCCAAACAACUGGCAGACAUAGACUUUUUUUGAGCUGCAGAGGGAAAUGGACAGUACAUGAAAAGGGAACGUAGAAAAUUGUUGACAUACACCAACCCUUAGUAGAGGGUCUGUCACAAGAAUAUCUCCCCAAAGGGCUAGCUAAAAAGAAAGUAAUGCAAGGUAAGAAUAAUUUCUUAAAAAGCUGUAAAAUGGCUUGUUCUAUUUCAGUGAGGACAAGACAACUUUGUAACAUGCAAGGCUGAGCUUUUUAUAUGGUACUGGAAGAUGUCACACACUCACCUCUGCAAAAAAUCGUCUUCUGUGGCAAAGAGGUUCUGGGCUUUAUAAAAACCUUCUACACUACUUCUCAUAGCUCCAUGUUUUAGAUGCACCUCACUUGCCUGGAGUAGCAAGGAAAGAUUAAAUUUUCCCAAGGUAGGCCUGGCAUGGGCGUCUCAUGGACUAGGAGCUUGUGAUCACCUUACCAUGGCGAUUGAGUGAAAGCCAGAAUAGCGUAGUUUAAAUAAAUUUCAUUAAUCUCUUUUAUCUAAGAGCAGAUGAAGUAUUUUUCAUAUGUUGUCUACUGAUUUUUCACUGUAAUAUUUCAAGUUAAUCAGAAGCUAAUGGAAAAGAAUGUCAGCUCCUACAUUUGACUGAUAAAUAGCAUGCUACUUUACUCCUGGAAGUUUGAAAAAGUUACUCUCAUGCUGAAAAUAAAUUCUAAUCAGGACUUUAGAAACUGUUGGUAGAGACUAUCGAAGCAACAUCUUCAGUUGCACCAGUCCUUCUAAAUGAUGGGUAUUCUGGAGGUCACCUUGUUUAACUUUAGGCUUUAUAAAUGAUUUUUGACUAAAUAAGAAAAGCUGUUUCUUUGAGACUGAAUCCAAAACCUACUUGGGAAAAACAAUUGGGUUUUGAUGAAUUGUAAUCUCUUGACUCAGUAUUUUACAGGAAUUAUACAUGGAAAAGAAUAGUAGGGCACUCCAUGAAAUUAUUGUGACAGCUGAAAUCAAAAUCACAAUAGCUUCAAAAAACAUAUUUUUGAAAAAUAUCUUUACUUUUCAGUGCUGAGUGAACAUAUGGAAUGAAACAUGAAGUUUCAUAAUUUUUUGGGGUGUAAUCAGUGCACAAUUUUAAUUUGGCAUAUUUGAGACCACCAUUCUUGUUUGCAAAGAGAAUACCACUAACUGGAGACAGUCUAAUUAAACAGCCUAAUUAGCAUUAAGGUUUCGUCAGAGAUUGAACAGUUUUUAUUGUGUCAUUGUUUUUGCCAAGCUGCAGGAAGCUUUUUAUUUUUUCCUUCAUGAUCCUAAGGUUUUAAGAAAAAAUAUAGAAAGCUGUAAGAAAAAGAAAAUCUUCAGCCCUUCUGGAAAUCAGGGGUUUUCAUUACAGUGCAGCCUGAGACAAGAACUGUAGAUUUAUGAAAAUGGGGUUUUUCCUCUGAACUCAAAGGUGUUUUCUCUGGAGAUGGGCUCUGCUUCAGGCUCCUAGGAGACAGUGUCUCACCCACGAGAUAUCAGUUUUCCCUCUGAACUUCCAUGAACCUGGGACCAGUCAUACACCUCUGUGUGCCCUGAGAGCCCUGCAAGGCAGAAGAAAGGCUGAUAAGGAGCUCAGGUCCCCUUUCUAUUUGCAAAAUGACUAAGAGCAUUGUUACUUUUUGCCUCAUGUUUGCCUGGUUUGCUUGGCAUUAUCUGCUACUUAGAGUUUGAGCCAAAUGGUGAGUUUGUGAAUGUUCAAACUUUCAUAUGCAAUUACUUUGGUACGGGAGAAAAGGAAAAUAUUAUGCAGAAUACUGAUCUUGCUUUGUGUUUGAACACAGAGUAAAGUCCUUUUGUUUAAGCAUAAAGUACAAAUGUUUACCUUGGAGCCUUGUAUAAUUUUAAUUAAAACACAAAGUCAUGCCUUUGAACCUCUACCUCUGAGUCAUAUAAAAUGAAAUCUCAAAAUUAAAAUUUCUGUGAAUGGUAGUUUGUUUUGCUCUAUUGCUAAUCUUAAUAAACACACUGCAGGUUAGUCCCAUUUAUAGUUUUCUGUCUGAUCCUCUUAAAACUCAUUCUGUGAUCAGUUGUGGUCAUGUUUCAGCACCUAGCUAAUUCUGAUUAGCAUUAUAAUCUAGUACAAUAAAAGCAGUUUAAUCAGAAAUUGCAAAUGAGACUCAACUACAUCUACUAUAAUCAGCUAUUUUGCUGACAUUGCUUCAGCAGCAGGGUUGUCGAGCACAGAAUGAAUUAGGUAUAUAUAUGAAUAGCUUUAGGACAUGUUUGAUACUGAUUUAGAGAAGAAUUUGCAUAAACAGCAGUUAAAACUUAAUUAAAAGUAAAAACCCUGUUGUAUGCUUCUAAGGUUGAACAAUUUUUGCUCAAUUUAAUGGUGAGGUAAUCUGUCCUCAACUAAUCCUUUUCACUCACUCAAUUUGUCAUAACCACAACCUCCUGCACUGACUAUGUAGACAGUGGCUAUAGGUUCUAUAAGCACCACAAUAAUUUACAGUAAGUCUAGCUGCUAAAUGUCCAUG